CAGUCGCCACGGGAAAACAGAGGGUGCAAGCGUUAAUCGGAAUUACUGGGCGUAAAGCGCGCGUAGGUGGUUUGUUAAGUUGGAUGUGAAAUCCCCGGGCUCAACCUGGGAACUGCAUCCAAAACUGGCAAGCUAGAGUAUGGUAGAGGGUGGUGGAAUUUCCUGUGUAGCGGUGAAAUGCGUAGAUAUAGGAAGGAACACCAGUGGCGAAGGCGACCACCUGGACUGAUACUGACACUGAGGUGCGAAAGCGUGGGGAGCAAACAGGAUUAGAUACCCGUGUAGUCCCUGUCUCUUAUAC
rnacentral:rRNA from 1 species